rnacentral:misc_RNA from 1 species
AAUAGACCUCAUCCGAACUUUCCUCAUAACGAUUCUCUCUACUCUCCUCAUUGCCACUACUCUGGUCACUAUUAUAGCUGCUUUCUGAUGUACUCAUGAACGACGAACCAUCUGAUGUGGGACUGCUCAAUUGUGAUGGCAGGCUGACUUCACUAUUUAGCUCGUUGUCAAUCAUUUGUUCAUGUCAAUAAAACUUCCCUCUGGUGGAAACUCGGCCAGCAAACAGAUAUCAGGCCUUGCUUCUAAUACCUG